UACGUAGGGGGCAAGCGUUGUCCGGAAUUAUUGGGCGUAAAGAGCGCGUAGGCGGUCCGAUAAGUCGGCUGUGAAAGUCAGGGGCUCAACCCUUGGAAGCCGGCCGAUACUGUCGGACUAGAGUCCGGAAGAGGCGAGUGGAAUUCCUGGUGUAGCGGUGGAAUGCGCAGAUAUCAGGAGGAACACCAAUAGCGAAGGCAGCUCGCUGGGACGUUACUGACACUAAGGCGCGAAAGCGUGGGGAGCGAACAGG
rnacentral:rRNA from 1 species